AUGCAUAGGAAUCUGCCCGAUAGUGGGGGAUAACCUGGGGAAACUCAGGCUAAUACCGCAUACGUCCUACGGGAGAAAGGGGGCUUUGGCUCCCGCUAUUGGAUGAGCCUAUGUCGGAUUAGCUGGUUGGUGAGGUAAUGGCUCACCAAGGCAACGAUCCGUAGCUGGUUUGAGAGGAUGAUCAGCCACAUCGGGACUGAGACACGGCCCGAACUCCUACGGGAGGCAGCAGUGGGGAAUAUUGGACAAUGGGCGCAAGCCUGAUCCAGCCAUGCCGCGUGUGUGAAGAAGGCCUUCGGGUUGUAAAGCACUUUCAGCGAGGAAGAACGCCUGUCGGUUAAUACCCGGCAGGAAAGACAUCACUCGCAGAAGAAGCACCGGCUAACUCCGUGCCAGCAGCCGCGGUAAUACGGAGGGUGCAAGCGUUAAUCGGAAUUACUGGGCGUAAAGCGCGCGUAGGUGGCUUGAUAAGCCGGUUGUGAAAGCCCCGGGCUCAACCUGGGAACGGCAUCCGGAACUGUCAGGCUAGAGUGCAGGAGAGGAAGGUAGAAUUCCCGGUGUAGCGGUGAAAUGCGUAGAGAUCGGGAGGAAUACCAGUGGCGAAGGCGGCCUUCUGGACUGACACUGACACUGAGGUGCGAAAGCGUGGGUAGCAAACAGGAUUAGAUACCCUGGUAGUCCACGCCGUAAACGAUGUCGACCAGCCGUUGGGUGCCUAGCGCACUUUGUGGCGAAGUUAACGCGAUAAGUCGACCGCCUGGGGAGUACGGCCGCAAGGUUAAAACUCAAAUGAAUUGACGGGGGCCCGCACAAGCGGUGGAGCAUGUGGUUUAAUUCGAUGCAACGCGAAGAACCUUACCUACCCUUGACAUCUACAGAAGCCGGGAGAGAUCCUGGUGUGCCUUCGGGAACUGUAAGACAGGUGCUGCAUGGCUGUCGUCAGCUCGUGUUGUGAAAUGUUGGGUUAAGUCCCGUAACGAGCGCAACCCUUGUCCUUAUUUGCCAGCACGUAAUGGUGGGAACUCUAAGGAGACUGCCGGUGACAAACCGGAGGAAGGUGGGGACGACGUCAAGUCAUCAUGGCCCUUACGGGUAGGGCUACACACGUGCUACAAUGGCCGGUACAAAGGGUUGCCAACUCGCGAGAGUGCGCCAAUCCCGAAAAGCCGGUCUCAGUCCGGAUCGGAGUCUGCAACUCGACUCCGUGAAGUCGGAAUCGCUAGUAAUCGUGAAUCAGAAUGU
rnacentral:rRNA from 1 species